GACGAACGCUGGCGGCGUGCCUAAUACAUGCAAGUAGAACGCUGAAGAGAGGAGCUUGCUCUUCUUGGAUGAGUUGCGAACGGGUGAGUAACGCGUAGGUAACCUGCCUUGUAGCGGGGGAUAACUAUUGGAAACGAUAGCUAAUACCGCAUAACAAUGGAUGACACAUGUCAUUUAUUUGAAAGGGGCAAUUGCUCCACUACAAGAUGGACCUGCGUUGUAUUAGCUAGUAGGUGAGGUAAUGGCUCACCUAGGCGACGAUACAUAGCCGACCUGAGAGGGUGUUCGGCCACACUGGGACUGGGACACGGCCCAGACUCCUACGGGAGGCAGCAGUAGGGAAUCUUCGGCAAUGGGGGCAACCCUGACCGAGCAACGCCGCGUGAGUGAAGAAGGUUUUCGGAUCGUAAAGCUCUGUUGUAAGUCAAGAACGGGUGUGAGAGUGGAAAGUUCACACUGUGACGGUAGCUUACCAGAAAGGGACGGCUAACUACGUG
rnacentral:rRNA from 1 species